CUUGUAAAUCAGCCUCUGAAACAAAGGUGAUCUCUCAUGCUGUGCGGCAGCCUGUUUUCCUUCGCAGCAUGUCGGCUCCUUCUGACCUGGAAAUGAUCGGUAAUGAAGAUUUGGAAUUUACUAGAGCAAAUCAGAGGUAAAUAGCUGAGGGCCAAGGUCGGAUCGGCACCUGCUGCCACGCACCUUCACCACAACACACUCCCUGAGCGGGUCUCUUGUUUGGCCGCAGGCGGCGCCACGUGACCAGCCACCGCAGCAGCUCCUUCACACUCCUGCAGUCAUUGGCCAUAGAGGACAGCAGGGACAAGCCCACCUACAGCGUCCUGCUGGGGCAGCUGUUUGCUUUCAUCGGCACCAACCCUGACCAAGCUGUACGUCCAUGUUUUUUGUUUGUUCUGUAAUGUUUAUUUGUUUGAGCAUGCUGGGUCUUAAUUGUGGCAUGUGGGAUCUAGUUCCCCAACCAGGAACUGAGCCCGGGUCCCCUGCACUGUGAACUCAGAGCUCCAGCUGCUGGACCGCUGCGGAUGUCCCUGUACAUCAUGUUUUGCCAAGUAGCUGAGUAGCGUGAGAGGUGCUGUGACCGCAGGAGUCAGGUGUACUUCCUUCUCACGUGUUCAGGUGUCCAGCAGCAGCUUUCUUCUGGCCGCACAGACGAGAUGGCGGCGGGGAAACACCCGCAAGCAGGCGCUGGUGCACAUGCGGGAGUUGCUGACGGCUGCCGUGCGAGUCGGGGGAGUGACACACCUUGUGGGUCCAGUGACAAUGGUCCUUCAGGGAGGACCCAGAAUUGAAGAACUGACCUGUGGUGGGAUGGUCGAGCAGGUCCAGGAAGCCUUCGGUGAGACCAUGACCUCUGUGGUGUCUCUGUGCGCACGUUACCCUAUCGCGUGUGCAAAUAGCAUUGGACUCUUGUGUACUAUACCUUACACCAGGAGUGAAGAGAAGUGCCUGGUGCGGAGUGGCCUUGUUCAGCUCAUGGAUCGACUAUGCAGCUUGAGCAGUCAGACUGAGUCCAGCUCCAGUGAGAAACAAACCAAGAAGCAGAAGGUGGCCACCAUGGCCUGGGCAGCCUUCCAGGUGCUUGCCAACCGCUGCGUUGAAUGGGAAAAAGAAGAAGGCGGCUCCACAGAGGCUGUGCACUCAGGUCUGGCCCGUCAGGUGUCCAGCCUUCUCACGAAUCACCUUGCCCGAGCGACUGAGUGCUGUGGCAACCAGGCUGCUGGGAACGACGCCCUCCAGGAUGUCCUCAGUCUCCUCAAUGAUCUCUCGAGGAGUCACAUAGGUAAAGCCAUCCUGAGCCAGCCAGCGUGUGUGUCCAAACUCCUCUCCCUGCUACUUGACCAACGCCCAUCCCCAAAGCUGGUUCUUAUCAUUCUUCAGCUGUGCCGGGCGGCACUCCCGCUGAUGAGCGUAGAAGACUGUGGGAACGUGGAGCUCCCACCCUGGAGCUACUCCGUCCCCUCCCUAAACAGCGAGCAGGAGGAUCCCAGCGACCCAGCGUCCAAGAUCGCCUCGCUGCUCUUGGCAAAGCUGGCAGACUACGUGGUCCCAGGUGAGUCACCUCCAGGAUGGAAGAAAGGCACCGUCACUUCCUGUGGAUGA
ensembl:lincRNA